AAAUGUCCUUCUCUGUUAUAUAUUUAAGCAACACAGACCAAGAGCUUUUACUGAUUCUGCUUCAACACACACCAUGAUCUCUACAUCACUACUGCUGCUGCUGCUGGCAGCCGUACACUGUGGUCUCUGUGUUGAGCUGAUCCAGAUCAGAUCCACAGUAUUAACCCCUUGUCAGUCACUGACUCUGACCUGUAAAGUGUCUGGAUAUUCAGUAACUGAUAGCAGCUACUGUACACACUGGAUACGACAACCUGCAGGAAAAACUCUGCAGUGGGUUGGACAGAUAUGUGGUGAUGGUAGAACUUUCUACAGUGAGAAACUGAAAAGCAGGUUUCAGGUUACCAGAGACACGUCCAGCAGCACAGUAACAUUAACAGGACAGAACAUGCAGACUGAAGACACAGCUGUGUAUUACUGCGCUCGUGAACCACGCAGUGAUACACAUCAACAACAUCCCUGUACAAAAAUUCCUCAUACAGUGUACAUUAUAACAGAAUGAUCAUGAGACACGACUAUUAUUGAUCUAAAUCUGUUUAAAAAUAUAUA